AUUUUUAGGAGGAUGAGUGCGUUGAAAGGGAAGCAGGUGGGAGAAGGGGUCAAGCCGAAUUAUGAGACGUUUAAUCCCCUGCUUCGGGCGUUGGUGGAGAAGGGGGAGUUCGUUGCUGCUCUGGAGAUAUGCAGUAAGUGUUUAGCUAGGAAGUGGGCGCCGCCGAAUUAUGUUGUUAAAGAUUUGAUCGAUGGGCUGGUGAAGGGCGCUCGUGUUGAU
rnacentral:misc_RNA from 1 species